UAGUCUGCAACUCGACUACAUGAAGCUGGAAUCGCUAGUAAUCGCGGAUCAGAAUGCCGCGGUGAAUACGUUCCCGGGUCUUGUACACACCGCCCGUCACACCAUGGGAGUCGGGAAUGCCCGAAGCCAGUGACCCAAGCGAGAGCAGGGAGCUGUCGAAGGCAGGCCGGAUAACUGGGGUGAAGUCGUAACAAGGUACC
rnacentral:rRNA from 1 species